AUUGAACGCUGGCGGCAGGCUUAACACAUGCAAGUCGAGCGGAGCGAGGGUGCUUGCACCUUGGCUUAGCGGCGGACGGGUGAGUAAUGCUUAGGAAUCUGCCUAUUAGUGGGGGACAACAUUCCGAAAGGAACGCUAAUACCGCAUACGUCCUACGGGAGAAAGCAGGGGACCUUCGGGCCUUGCGCUAUCAGAUGAGCCGAGGUCGGAUUAGCUAGUUGGUGGGGUAAUGGCUCACCAAGGCGACGGUCCGUAACUGGUCUGAGAGGAUGAUCAGUCACACUGGAACUGAGACACGGUCCAGACUCCUACGGGAGGCAGCAGUGGGGAAUAUUGGACAAUGGGCGAAAGCCUGAUCCAGCCAUGCCGCGUGUGUGAAGAAGGUCUUCGGAUUGUAAAGCACUUUAAGUUGGGAGGAAGGGCAGUAAGCUAAUACCUUGCUGUUUUGACGUUACCGACAGAAUAAGCACCGGCUAACUCUGUGCCAGCCGCCGCCGUAA
rnacentral:rRNA from 1 species